CCUACGGGGGGCAGCAGUGAGGAAUAUUGGUCAAUGGGCGCAAGCCUGAACCAGCCAUGCCGCGUGAGGGAAGAAGGUUCUAUGGAUUGUAAACCGCUUUUAUAAGGGAAUAAAGUGUGGUACGUGUAUGUUUAUGUAUGUACCGUAUGAAUAAGGAUCGGCUAACUCCGUGCCAGCAGCCGCGGUAAUACGGAGGAUACGAGCGUUAUCCGGAUUUAUUGGGUUUAAAGGGUGCGUAGGCGGUCGUUUAAGUCAGAGGUGAAAGUCCGAGGCUCAACCAUGGAAUUGCCGUUGAAACUGGGGGGCUUGAGUAUAGUAGAGGAAGGGGGAAUGUGUGGUGUAGCGGUGAAAUGCUUAGAUAUCAGGAAGAACACCGAUUGCGAAGGCAGCUUGCCGGGCCAUGACUGACGCUGAUGCACGAAAGCGUGGGGAGCAAACAGGAUUAGAUACCCGAGUAGUC
rnacentral:rRNA from 1 species